rnacentral:rRNA from 1 species
GACGAACGCUGGCGGCGUGCUUAACACAUGCAAGUCGAGCGGUAAGGCCCUUUCGGGGGUACGACGAGCGGCGAACGGGUGAGUAACACGUGGGUGACCUGCCCUCAGCUCUGGGAUAAGCCUGGGAAACCGGGUCUAAUACCGGAUAUGACUCCAUGACGCAUGUUGUGGGGUGGAAAGCCUUGUGCGGCUGAGGAUGGGCCCGCGGCCUAUCAGCUUGUUGGUGGGGUGAUGGCCUACCAAGGCGACGACGGGUAGCCGGCCAGAGAGGGCGACCGGCCACACUGGGACUGAGACACGGCCCAGACUCCUACGGGAGGCAGCAGUGGGGAAUCUUGCGCAAUGGGCGAAAGCCUGACGCAGCGACGCCGCGUGAGGGAUGACGGCCUGG